UUGGAUUAGUGGGUUAAAGCAGGAGGAGUCAGAAAUAGCGGCCUCAUUUGGCGUCUCCAACCUACAGAAUCAGCUGCAUCGAAACCUUUGUUGCACCGUGGAUUACUUACCUUUUUAUUUUAUUUUUUACAUUUUUUUAUAGGCUGAAAAUCCCAAAUCAGAACCCUUGUAAAAUUAGUUAAGCUUAGAUUACAUCGGAUUAGAGUUUUUUUUUGUUUUUUUUUUAAAGUGAGCAAAGACAAGAUAGGGCAGCUUGGAGCAUCAUGCUGGUCACAAUAACUGUAAAACGGGUUGCCUGAUCUAAUCUGAACUGUUGACCAGCUUCUCCAACUAGAUUCUCUCUAGUUCUUUGGCCUGGACUGGGUGUGAAAUGCUAAUUUUCAUGGUAAUCCAGCGUAGGUUCAUUUGCCGUGUGAAGAUCCAUGUGUUGGACUGUCUGAGAAUUUAAACUAAUGGAUGGUGCAUUCUCCAGGAUUUCACAGGUUUAAUAAUGGAGGUGGGCAUCAGUCUGAUUAUAGUUCAACUCUGAUGAAACUGCAGAUUUCCAGUAAGCUCCAAUGGAGGCUGCAGGACCAAGGAGCUGAUCGUGGACUUCAGGAAGCAGGAGAGAGCACACUCGUCCAUCUCCAUCAACGGGACUGCGGUGGAGAGGGUCAGCAGCUUCAAGUUUCUGGGUGUUCACAUCAGCGAGGAUCUGACGUGGACAGAACACACCACACGGGUGGUGAAGAAGGCACAACAUAGCCUGUAGUUCCUAAUGCGGCUGAGGAGGUUUGGUCUGAACCCGAGCAUCCUCAGGACUUUCUACACCUGCACUGUGGAAAGCAUUCUGACGGGCAGCAUCACCACCUGUUACGGGAACUGUACUGCUCUGGAGAGGAAAUCCCUGCAGAGGGUAGUGCAUGCAGCGCAGUUCAUCACUGGGGGUCAGCUCCCAAACCUUUUGGAUUUAUACACCAACCGCUGCCUGAGGAAAUGCAAAAGGAUCAUGAAGGACACGUCCCAUCCAAACCCUCCCUGUUCUCACAGCUGCCGAGUGGAAGGAGGCUCAGAAGCUUGAAGGCCAGAACCAGCCGGUUUCAAGACAGCUUCUUCCCCCAGGCGGCCAGGCUGUGGAACAGCCAGUAGAACUGUGUACCCAUACAAACUCUGCUCCCUGCA